rnacentral:rRNA from 1 species
AUGAAUGUUCCUAAAUAUUUGUGGGCUGAAGCUGUGAUGACAGCGGCUUAUUUGAUGAAUAGAAUGCCAUCUCGGGUGCUCAAUAACAAGACACCGAUUGAGUGUCUAACUGGUGAAACUACAUAUGUUGUGCCACCAAAGGUAUUUGGAUGUGUAUGUUUUGUGAGGGAUCAUAGACCAUCGGUUGGCAAGCUUGACCCUAGAGCAGUGAAAUGUGUAUUUGUGGGAUACUCUGGAAAACAAAAGGGUUAUAAAUGUUGGUGCCCAUCAGAAAAACGGAUGUUUGUGAGCAUGGAUGUAGUGUCCAGGGAACAUGAACCAUAUUAUGGGGAACCGGUAGAUUUAACUGAUGUCUUCCCUGAUGAUGUUACAGGCCUGGACAACGAGACAGGGGGAGACGACAGCAGAGAAGGCAAUGAUGUAGCACUAGAGAAGAUGAUAGUUGGGGUUAUACCUAUUGAAGAUGUGCAAGACGAUGCAGGGCAAGAAAAUGAACAGAGAGAACAACAAAGUGACUCUAAUGGAGCAUUACAAUGGCCAAAACCGAAUGAGGAACGAGAAGUUCAAGUGUUUACACGGAGGCAUAGAUGGCCAAAACCAAAUGAGGAACGAGAAGUUCAAGUGUUUACACGGAGGCAUAGAAUUGAGAAGGAGCAAGUGCAGAGACAAGAACCUAACCCACCGGAGUGUGGUACAGAAACUCAAGAGCUUACUGAUACAUAUGAUUUAGAUGAUGGUACGCUUCCUCAUUCUCUUCCACAUGAGGAUUUAGAUGCUCCUAUUGCUCUUAGGAAGCAACCCCGCACUACUGCUGGGAAAUUACCAUCAAAGCUAUCUCCAUAUGAUGUCUCAAAUUAUGUGUCAUAUGCAUCCUUGGGUUCCAAGUAUAAAGGUGAAGGAAGAGCACCUGAGGUGAUUGAAGCUUCAGGAAAUUUCCCCACUAGACAUCAAAUAUCAAGAUAUCAUGGUAUCCCAUCUCGCUAA